CUUGGUGUUACUGCGAAGGGGGGACGGAGAAGGCUAUGUUGGCCGGGCGACGGUUGUCCCGGUUUAAGCGUGUAGGCUGGUUUUCCAGGCAAAUCCGGAAAAUCAAGGCUGAGGCGUGAUGACGAGGCACUACGGUGCUGAAGCAACAAAUGCCCUGCUUCCAGGAAAAGCCUCUAAGCAUCAGGUAACAUCAAAUCGUACCCCAAACCGACACAGGUGGUCAGGUAGAGAAUACCAAGGCGCUUGAGAGAACUCGGGUGAAGGAACUAGGCAAAAUGGUGCCGUAACUUCGGGAGAAGGCACGCUGAUAUGUAGGUGAAGCGACUUGCUCGUGGAGCUGAAAUCAGUCGAAGAUACCAGCUGGCUGCAACUGUUUAUUAAAAACACAGCACUGUGCAAACACGAAAGUGGACGUAUACGGUGUGACGCCUGCCCGGUGCCGGAAGGUUAAUUGAUGGGGUUAGCGCAAGCGAAGCUCUUGAUCGAAGCCCCGGUAAACGGCGGCCGUAACUAUAACGGUCCUAAGGUAGCGAAAUUCCUUGUCGGGUAAGUUCCGACCUGCACGAAUGGCGUAAUGAUGGCCAGGCUGUCUCCACCCGAGACUCAGUGAAAUUGAACUCGCUGUGAAGAUGCAGUGUACCCGCGGCAAGACGGAAAGACCCCGUGAACCUUUACUAUAGCUUGACACUGAACAUUGAGCCUUGAUGUGUAGGAUAGGUGGGAGGCUUUGAAGUGUGGACGCCAGUCUGCAUGGAGCCGACCUUGAAAUACCACCCUUUAAUGUUUGAUGUUCUAACGUUGGCCCCUGAUCGGGGUUGCGGACAGUGUCUGGUGGGUAGUUUGACUGGGGCGGUCUCCUCCUAAAGAGUAACGGAGGAGCACGAAGGUUGGCUAAUCCUGGUCGGACAUCAGGAGGUUAGUGCAAUGGCAUAAGCCAGCUUGACUGCGAGCGUGACGGCGCGAGCAGGUGCGAAAGCAGGUCAUAGUGAUCCGGUGGUUCUGAAUGGAAGGGCCAUCGCUCAACGGAUAAAAGGUACUCCGGGGAUAACAGGCUGAUACCGCCCAAGAGUUCAUAUCGACGGCGGUGUUUGGCACCUCGAUGUCGGCUCAUCACAUCCUGGGGCUGAAGUAGGUCCCAAGGGUAUGGCUGUUCGCCAUUUAAAGUGGUACGCGAGCUGGGUUUAGAACGUCGUGAGACAGUUCGGUCCCUAUCUGCCGUGGGCGCUGGAGAACUGAGGGGGGCUGCUCCUAGUACGAGAGGACCGGAGUGGACGCAUCACUGGUGUUCGGGUUGUCAUGCCAAUGGCACUGCCCGGUAGCUAAAUGCGGAAGAGAUAAGUGCUGAAAGCAUCUAAGCACGAAACUUGCCCCGAGAUGAGUUCUCCCUGACUCCUUGAGAGUCCUGAAGGAACGUUGAAGACGACGACGUUGAUAGGCC
rnacentral:rRNA from 1 species